UUUGUCUCACUAAGCGGAUAUGCAAGGAGUAGUCAACGAAAGUAAGAUUGGAUAACAAAAGCCGAAGAAAAUUUACAUAUCACAGAUACUCUCGCAAUUUGUCCUCAUUAUCAGCUCUAGUCAUAACGCUGGCACGAUAGGAAACACACAACAAACUAAACAUUGAGUUCCAGCGAUCCAACGCACCCCCACUAAAUACCCCUAGGCAGAUUUUGGCAUUACUUUUUAGAACAAAACAAACAAAGCUUGAUAAUAAUACGAGGAAUACAAGAGUAACCAAAAUAUGCUGCACAAUCAGAGCGUGGGCGCGACACUAAGUCAGACGACGUCCGUUAUGGUCGGGCUGAUGGCAUCGUUCGGUGCACGCUCGACAAUGGCGUUGUUGCCGGGACUUUUCCCGCCCAGUUAAACCAACAACUACACAUUCCAAUGCAUUACUUUAAUGCGACCAUGGACAAUGGCGUGGACAUUGGGGCAAGCUUCACCGGAUUCCCUGGACAAGAUGGCGCAGCGGUGGGUUAUGAUGGAAAUUACUAUUUGCAACGAGAUGGUGUAUUUGAUUUCGAAAUGGAUCCAUUGAAGCGCGUUGUCUCAAACAUUGGGAACUUAUUUUUCGGCAUCAUUGGACUGGCGGGUUUGUUGGAGAAUGCGCACGUCAUUUAGGUGGUCGUCGCUAACCAACCAACCUGACAAUUUCGGAUAUAAUCUUUUUCAUCUUUUGUGUGCCCCUUACGGCAAAACUGAUUACGUGUUGCAAGAGUAGCCUUCGGCAACUUGUGAUGCAAAUUUGUGCAAUACAUGAUUGUAAUCACCUGUCUUGACAGUGUCUACUUGCUGCUGCUGAUGUCUCUUGAUCGUUUUUUGGCUGUCGUACAUCCGGUCACGAGUAUGUCCUUGCAAACCGAACGCAAUGCGAUUCUGUGACCAUUGUAAUAUCAGCCAUAGCCGUGGCGUUAUCGCACUCCGUUCAACUAUACUAUUUCAAAGGACGCAAUUACGCAGCAUGUGGCUUUUCAUCGCAUGAGAGAAUCUGGAAUCACGUUGCUUUUCAGAAAGGGCUAACAGCGUGUGUUACGAAUGGUUAUGUUAGCGUUUGACAUAUGUUACCUACCAAUAUAUCUGGGAGCAAAUUUACCGCAUCAUUCAUUAUACAGCCAAUACUCAAACGGCAAACAGUGCAGCUGGUCGCGUAACAACAACAACAGCAAUCAUAGCAGACAAAGUAGCUCAAAAAAACAAUAGCACUGCCAGCUAUCAUAGCAUAACAGAUACCAAAAUAAAAUAAAACGGUGUUAAUAAAGAAUAAAAAACAAAAACCUUAUUUUCUUUGUAAAUAAUCGCCAAAAUUAAAUUUUUAAAUAUGUGAGAUGAAAAAUGUUGCUUUGUCGCUCAGAAAAGCAUCUUUGAAGUGCAAUAACAAUAAUAAAACAAUAUAGCGAAAAUAAGAAGAUGAAAACAGCAUAAACAAAAGAAUUAUUCAACAACAAUAUUAAAAUAAGGAAAAAGGGGGUUUACAGAUGAGUUCUUCGUACUGACGUCAACUAAUAAACAUAUGCACUUAUCUUUUCUAUAAAAGAGAGUUAAUGGUGUGUGUUGUUCAUAGGCAGUGGUUGUCUUGUCGCUCAAAGCAAUUUGAGUGUUGAGCUGUG